UGAAUAAUUUAUAAUUUUGGGCAAAUAUAAAAAAACGAAGUCAGUUUUCCGUCUUUCGUAAAUCAUAAAACGAACCAUUCAACUCAAAGUUUAACUCCUCGUCGUUUCUGGAAAAAAAAUUGAAGAGGAAAAAGCAUCAUAUUCUAUCUUCCAACGUCGUCGUCUCCUUCCUCUUCCAAAGCAAGAUGGCGGUUCGAAGUCUUCCUCCGCUUCAGAGGCGAGGAUGUCCGCACCGCCUUCCUCCCUUCACGGCGGCAUCGACGCCUGCAGCGACGGCGAGGGCGCGAGGCGCGAGGUCCCGCCGGUCGGUCACGAAGGCUGUCGAGGAGUCGCGGAUCGCCGUGCUCAUCUUGUCUGAGGACCACGCUUCGUCUCGGUGGUGAUUGAGUGAGCUCGGUGAAGGAAGGGGAUGGAGUGGAAGAGGCUCAAGGGGACAGCUGGUGUUGCCCCUGUACUACGGAGUGGAGCCGGGGGAGAUUCGAUGGCAGAGAGAGGGGGAUAUGGCAAGGCAUUGGCCAGUCACUGAUUUGUCCGAUUGGCAUUAUUAUGACCAUGGGUAAUCACGAUAACCAAUGUUGUUAAAGGCAUAGUGCUGGACUUGCCAACACAGGAAGAGCUAGACAUCAAUCCCAGUGUUUUCACACGUAUGAGGAGACUCAUAUUGCUCCUAGUUCUGAAUGCACAGGUCAGCGGUGGUCCCAUAUGUCUUCCCAAUGACUUAAGGUGGCUUGAACGGAAUAUCCUUUAUCAACUCUGAAGUUUAGUGCUUGUCUAAAGAAACUUGUUUGGUUCGAUGUGCAUAACAACUUGAUUAAAUAAUUGGGAGACAACUUAAAGGUAUGUCUUACAUGCUCAUAGUAAUUAUGACACGAGCAUUCUCUUCGUUUAAUUUGAUAAAAGCAUGUUAUUCUUAAUUUGUUGAUGCUUUAUAGAAAUUUGAAGUUCCUAAAUUUCAGCUGCUGUAAGUCGUUGAUUAGUGUUCCAAAAUUCUCAGAGGUGCCAAAUUUGGAGACACUGAACUUAAGUAGGUGCUUGAAACUCAAGAGCUUUCAAGCAAACUGAAGCUGAAUAAACAGUUGAUGUAAUUGGCUGCUCUUAGCUAAUAAGUUUCCUGAUAUUAAGGAUAUGGAGAGCUUAACAAAACUUUAUUUAUCUUAGACCUCUAUAAACUAACUUCUUGCAUUAAUUGAAAACCUAAUCUCUGUUAAGUUUUUGCUUUUGAAUUCGUGCAAUGCAAGAUGCAAAGUCUAGAGCACCUUUCUCUUGAUGGUUGUUCAUUAUUUGGCUUGUUUCCAAAGAGUGGUGAGAAAUCCAAUCUCUCUAAUGGUAGACUUGGAUUUCCAAAUCUGGUCUCCUUGUGGGUGCAAUCUAUCAGAGGCAGAAUUCCUUCAGAGUCGUACUUGCUUUUCUUCCAUAAAUAUUUUGCAUCUCUUAGGAAAUAACUUUGUUAGAGUUCCUACAUGCAUUUGCAAGUUUGAUGAGUUGAUGGUUCUUAAAAAAUUAGAUGAUUGCAAGCAGGAGAUCCUAGAGCUUUCACCAAACAUUUGUAGCCUAGAAGCAAAUGGCUGCAAUGAAUUGUCCAGAUUUCCAAAGUUGCCUAUUCAGUGCAUUCAGUACUCCAUGUCAGUGUAUGUUCACUUAGAUUCAUGUCAUGGAUUGGUUCGUGAAGGUAUUAGCCUGGCUAAUAUUACACGUAUGCAUGAGCUGGUGGGAUUCUGAUUUAAUAGAUUUGCUAUAGCAGGAUGUUUGUGAGAUGGGUCACUACACGGAUGCUAUACUUCCUAGAAGAGAGAUAGCAUGUUGGUUUAUCCAAAGUCUAAGAACGUUCUUUCUCUUCCUUGGUGUCCCGAGAUUUGCAUGGGAGUAUCUUUGGAUUAGCUUUGUGUGUUGCUUUUGGAUUGGAGCAAGGUGAGGCUAGCAUUUCGUGUGAGGUUCGGGUAAUGGUGAAUCAUGUUCAUAGUAAUUAUGAUACAAGAACAUUCUCUUCA